rnacentral:rRNA from 1 species
UACAGAGGGUGCGAGCGUUGUCCGGAAUCACUGGGCGUAAAGGGCGCGUAGGUGGUUGGGUAAGCGUGUGGUGAAAGCCCGGGGCUCAACCCCGGGUCGGCCAUGCGAACUGCCCGACUAGAGCACGGUAGAGGCCAAUGGAAUUCCGGGUGUAGAGGUGGAAUGCGUAGAGAUCCGGAAGAACACCGGUGGCGAAGGCGGUUGGCUGGGCCGUGGCUGACACUGAUGCGCGACAGCGUGGGGAGCAAACAGG